rnacentral:rRNA from 1 species
UUUAGCAUGGAAUAAUGGAAUAGGACGCUGCGGUUCUAUUUUGUUGGUUUCUAGGACCGCCGUAAUGAUCAAUAGGGACGGUCGGGGGCAUCAGUAUUCGGCCGCGAGAGGUGAAAUUCUUAGACCGGCCGAAGACUAACUACUGCGAAAGCAUUUGCCAAGGACGUUUUCGCUGAUCAGGAACGAAAGUUAGGGGAUCGAAGACGAUCAGAUACCGUCGUAGUCUUAACCAUAAACGGUGCCGACUUGGGAUCGGGCGCUGUUCUCUCUAGACGCGCUCGGCACCAUUCGAGAAAUCAAAGUGCGUGGGCUCCAGGGGGAGUAUGGCGGCAACGCUGAAACUUAAAGAAAUUGACGGAAGGGCACCACCAGGGGUGGAACCUGCGGCUUAAUUUGACUCAACACGGGGAAACUCACCGGGUCCGGACACAAUGAGGAUUGACAGAUUGAGAGCUCUUUCUUGAUUUUGUGGGUGGUGGUGCAUGGCCGUUCUUAGUUGGUGGGGUGACUUGUCUGCCUAAUCGCGAUAACGAACGAGACCUUGACCGCUAAAUAGCACGCGCCGCUCCGGCGGCGUCGCGGCUUCUUAGUGGGACUAUCGGCUCAAGCCGAUGGAAGUUCGAGGCAAUAACAGGUCUGUGAUGCCCUUAGAUGUCCCGGGCAGCACGCGCGUUACACUGACAGAGCCAGCGAGUCCUUCCUUGGCCGAAAGGCCCGGGUAAUCUUGUGAAACUCCGUCGUGAUGGGGAUAGAGCAUUGCAAUA